rnacentral:rRNA from 1 species
UACGUAGGGGGCAAGCGUUGUCCGGAAUUAUUGGGCGUAAAGCGCGCGCAGGCGGUGAUGUAAGUUGGGUGUUUAAACCUAGGGCUCAACCUUGGGACGCAUCCAAAACUGCAUGACUUGAGUACAGAAGAGGGAAGUGGAAUUCCACGUGUAGCGGUGAAAUGCGUAGAUAUGUGGAGGAACACCAGUGGCGAAGGCGACUUUCUGGGCUGUAACUGACGCUGAGGCGCGAAAGCGUGGGGAGCAAACAGG